CAGCCGCCACGGGAAUACGUAGGGUGCGAGCGUUAAUCGGAAUUACUGGGCGUAAAGCGUGCGCAGGCGGUUUUGUAAGACAGGCGUGAAAUCCCCGGGCUCAGCCUGGGAAUGGCGCUUGUGACUGCAAAGCUAGAGUGCGGCAGAGGGGGAUGGAAUUCCGCGUGUAGCAGUGAAAUGCGUAGAUAUGCGGAGGAACACCGAUGGCGAAGGCAAUCCCCUGGGCCCGCACUGACGCUCAUGCACGAAAGCGUGGGGAGCAAACAGGAUUAGAUACCCCCGUAGUCCCUGUCUCUUAUAC
rnacentral:rRNA from 1 species